GCACCCGUAGCUCAGUGGAUAGAGCAGCGGAUUUCUAAUCCGUUGGUCGCAGGUUCGAAUCCUGCCGGGUGCG
rnacentral:tRNA from 2 species